CCGGCACGGGUGAGUAACACGUAUCCAACCUGCCGUCUACUCUUGACAGCCUUCUGAAAGGAAGAUUAAUACAAGAUGGCAUCAUGAGUCCGCAUGUUCACAUGAUUAAAGGUAUUCCGGUAGACGAUGGGGAUGCGUUCCAUUAGAUAGUAGGCGGGGUAACGGCCCACCUAGUCUUCGAUGGAUAGGGGUUCUGAGAGGAAGGUCCCCCACAUUGGAACUGGGACACGGUCCAA
rnacentral:rRNA from 1 species